CAGUUCUGGGCUGUCUUCGCCAAAAACGUGCUGGUGAAGGAAGAGGAGCAGCGAGAGGAACUGGUGCUCCAAGUUAAUCCUGACCCAGAGGGAAGACACUGAUUGGGAUUUCAGCCGGGAUGUGACCGCUUCCCCCGAGGGGUCACAGGAACCAAGGGCCAGCGGGCUGGGCGGGGUCGCUGUGCAGCAGCCUUCAGAAAAGGGACUCCAAGAUGUCCAAAGAGAGGGGAGGCUCCCAGGGGUUCUAGAAGGAGCUCGUUCACAGUCACGUCUCGGAAGCACCUGGUCAGGAUGCCUUGCUGAUGCUCAAGACUGGAGGGACGCCCGCACUCUGGUUCACACAUUAUAUAUAUCGUAGAAGAAAACCAUAGUGGCAGGAAAUACAUCAAAAUGUUACGAGUGGUGACCUUUGGGUAAUAAAACAUUUCUACCUUUUCUUUAUACUUUCCUGUGUUUUCCAAAUUUUUCUAUUUAAAACAUUUAUAAUUGGCAAAUGGAUAUAUAUACAGAUAGUUUCUAAGGAUGGAAAAACUAAAGUCUGGACAUUGACAGGGCUUUGCAGGGAGCAAUUCGGCAAAGGCCAUCGAAACGCUGCCUCCACCCCCGUCCUUUGACUCGGCAGCUCCACCAGGGGAAGCACAUCUAUUGCAACAUCAAAGGGAGCGUUCACUGAGCUGCUGUGGGAGGUGGCAAAGCAUCGGAAGCAUCCACAUUUUCCUUAAGAGGGGAAUGGUUGAAUAAUGGGUAAAUCUAUACAAACAAGGAUCACAGAAGGCAUGGAAAGGAGUUGGCGCCAGUAUGCAGAUCCGCAGACCUGGGGGACCCUCCCUAGCUGUGAAAGGAGGACAGCAGCUGCAGGAAAGGCAGGAAACGGCUUCUCUUAAGAGCAAAUGUCCCAGAGCCCGGAUACGCGGGCGUGCGUGUUGAAAUGUGCUGGCAGGCGCCUGGGAUGAGCGUAACUUUCACCUUGUAUUUAUUCCCAUACUUUUCUCAGACACACACACACACAAAAAGGUAUCGUUCAAUAGAAACUUGCAAACGUCAGGUGAGAACAGCCCCGUGUUUCAUUAACAUUUUCAGCUGGGCUUGAGCCUGAGUGUGCUGUGGUCCGCCCGUGCCCAGGUGCUCUCCAGGCCUUGGGGCCGAUUCCUGCUCGCUUGCCACACGCAGGUCCCUGCUUGGGCAGUUGGCUCCAGGGACUCAGCAGGGAAGAGGCUGUGCCUGAAGGAGGGGCAGCCGCAGGCCUCCCAGCAGGUAGGGCCGGGGCCCAAGACUGUGGCUGCCUGGCUCGGCACUUCCUGUUCUCGGGCCUUUGUCCCUUCCUGGAGGACCAGGUUUCUCUUGUUCCUCCCAAACUUUGGCCGGGCCGCUUCUGCAGCCUGCUCCCCAGGGCUGAGCUGGUGGCCAAAGAGGGGCUGACUGCACUUUCCUGAAGGGGAUUCUG
rnacentral:lncRNA from 1 species